GAUGAACGCUGGCGGCGUGCCUAAUACAUGCAAGUCGAGCGAAGCGGGGACGGGUGAGUAACACGUGGAUAACCUCCUAUAAGACUGGGAUAACUUCGGGAAAACGGAGCUAAACCGGAUACUUAUCGAUGAAUCCGCGCUGCAUUAGCUAGUUGGUAAGGUAACGGCUUACCAAGGCAACGUUGCAUAGCCGACCUGAGAGGUGAAUCGGCAAACCUGGAACUGGGACCCGGUCCAGAUUCCUACGGGGGGCAGCGGGAGGAAAUCUUCCGCAAUGGGCGAAACCCGGACGGACCAACGCCGCUUGAGUGAUGAAGGUCUUCGGAUCGUAAAACUCUGUUAUUAGGGAAGCGGUACCUAAUCAGAAAGCCACGGCUAACUCCUUGCCAGCCGCCGCGUAAUAC
rnacentral:rRNA from 1 species